CUUGACCGAGCCGAGCCAGAGGGGCCGCCCGGCCUCGCGUUCGCGCCCGUAGGCGGACAGGAGGGCCUGGGCCUC
rnacentral:antisense_RNA from 1 species